rnacentral:lncRNA from 1 species
CGGCAAGAGAGAUGAAAACGAGGCACAGUGAGUAGGUUGGUUUAAGAGGAGCGAAUCAUGUGGGCUGGAAUGUAGUGGGAGAGGAGUGAGGAAAAGUAGUGGGGAGAGAACAAACAGAACCUAAAAUAAAGAGAACAGUGUAGAAAAGUGUAAAUUCUACUAGCAUAAACACUGGUUCCGCUAAUCUUAACCCAGACCCUUUUCUAACAACAGUUCCACUUAUGCAACGUUCCACAAGCUACCAAGUUCUGCAAAAUGAAGAUGAUCUGGAGUGAAAGAUGAACUUCAAGAGGAGGAAUGGCAGCUUUAGGUGAAGCGAGGCAGCACUCUGGCGGAUUGGUCGAUGGUGCGGCUCUACUCCUGGGAUGCCAGCUCAAUCAAUGCUAAAAUCAGCAUCAGGAGAAGUCCCAAAAGAAAGAAAUCCUCACCUGAUGAGUGCACCAGCCGAGCCGGUGAGUGAGUAGAAUGAGCUGAGAGCAAAACCACCAAAACACGCAGAGAGAAUUUAUAAUCGGGAGCCAAGGUUCAGUAUGCUGACUUCUAGCAUCACACGUGCU